AUUGAACGCUGGCGGCAUGCUUUACACAUGCAAGCCGAACGGCAGCACGGACUUCGGUCUGGUGGCGAGUGGCGAACGGGUGAGUAAUACAUCGGAACGUACCCAGUAAUGGGGGAUAACUAUCCGAAAGGAUAGCUAAUACCGCAUACGCCCUACGGGGGAAAGAGGGGGAUCGCAAGACCUCUUGUUAUUGGAGCGGCCGAUGGCUGAUUAGCUAGUUGGUGAGGUAAAGGCUCACCAAGGCGACGAUCAGUAGCGGGUCUUAGAGGACGAUCCGCCACACUGGAACUGAGACACGGUCCAGACUCCUACGGGAGGCAGCAGUGGGGAAUCUUGGACAAUGGGCGCAAGCCUGAUCCAGCAAUGCCGCGUGCGUGAAGAAGGCCUUCGGGUUGUAAAGCGCUUUUGUCAGGGAGCAAAUCCUUGUGGCUAAUACCCACCGGGGAUGAGAGUACCUGAAGAAUAAGGACCGGCUAACUACGUGCCAGCAGCCGCCGUAAAAC
rnacentral:rRNA from 1 species